GGGUUAAGUCCCGCAACGAGCGCAACCCUUACUGUCAGUUACUACCAAGUAAAGUUGAGGACUCUGACGGAACUGCCGGCGUAAGCUUGGAGGAAGGUGGGGACGACGUCAAGUCAUCAUGGCUCUUACGUCCAGGGCUACACACGUGCUACAAUGAUCGGUACAAAGUGAAGCGAAGCCGCGAGGCUGUAGCAAACCACAGAAAGCCGAUCGUAGUUCGGAUUGCAGUCUGAAACUCGACUGCAUGAAGUUGGAAUCGCUAGUAAUCGCAUAUCAGCAUGGUGCGGUGAAUACGUUCCCGGGCCUUGUACACACCGCCCGUCACACCAUCCGAGUUGGAGGUACCCGAAGUCGGUAGCCUAACCUUGUAAAAGGAGGGCGCUGCCGAAGGUACGUUUAGUGAGGAGGGUGAAGUCGUAACAAGGUAGCCGUACUGGAAAGUGCGGCUGGAUCACCUCCUUUCU
rnacentral:rRNA from 1 species